UUCAUUAUGCCCUAACAUCUGCUUGUACUAGAUUAUCGGAAAAGUAGGUCGCAAUGUUUGUCAUCUAGUCAUUCGUACCAACUAAACAGUGGCUCUCAGCGAAAUCUUCGUAAAUAAGUUCAUUUUCACACUGAGAAAACUGGCUUGUCGAAAGAGGUAACAAAAACAACAUUGUAAUGUCAAUGAUUUAACCUUGUAGCGCCAGAUUGUCAACAUUUUCUCGAUGAUCAACAACUGUGAACUUUGAACUCUCUUGGCGCUCAGGCAGUCUGCUUGGCGCUGAGUUGUCUGCAACAACCCCGCCCCCUUACGCAGUGAAGUAGUACUAGUGAAGUACCAAUUUCAUAAGAACCUAGGACGUUUUAGAUCCAAAAUCAUGGCGGUUGCAGCCAGACGAGUUCUUCUGCAGACACUUCGGGGCCGUUGCGGUCCCCUUGAAGGAUCCAGACCGUUGUGCACGAGCGGUGUCUGGCAGCAGAAGUUCAACGUUCCUCCCAGCGGGAACGACUUGCCCAGACCCGGCGGUAUCGCCUCCAUGAUGCGUCUACCCGUCCAGAAGGAUACACAAGGUUUCCCCAGCUUAUGACCCGUCCGGUAACACAGCGCUGACUGCAGCUAACCUGCUGUUUGAGAUGCUGUGUGUCCUGCCUGGUGUCCAGUACAGACGGGGCUCAUUGACGGAUGCUUCGUUUUUGGACUACGUACUUGUUGUGUCAAAAUCUUCUUGUUAUGUCAAAAAAGGCGUAUGUCAAAAAAAUCUCUGGUGCUAAUAUUCUUGUUGGAGUAAAUGGAACUGAAAAUGUGUACAAAAAAGGAUGAAAAUACUUCUUUUCGUUUUCUUAUCAGUGAAUAGUUCCAAUUGUUUUCUGUCAAUGCUUUUGUCAAAUCUUUUAUGUAAUGGACUGGAAGAAAUAGGCUGAGGGUUGGGUGGGUUAACUAUUCAAUUAAUGACUGGUAGGGUUAGGGUUAGGGUUAGGGUUAGGGUUAGGGUUAGGGUUAGGGUUAGGUGAGUACAGUAUUCCUCUGGUGAUUUAUCAUGCAUACUCAUACAGUGCAGAUUUGGAAUAUUAAAGAUGUAUUUGGCUUCACUCCUUGAGGUAUGGUAGUACGUUUGUACUUGUACCAUAUUACCAUCAGCAAAUAAAAUGUCACAAAGCAAGA